CCCAACAGUCACCCCGGCGGAUCCUGGAGAAAAAGGCGUCUGUCCCUCGCGGGUCUCCUUCAACGACCCGAGGUGACCUUCGCCUAGCGGGGCAGCGAGGCCGCCUGGCGUACCCCGCGGAAGCCGAGAGGAAGUUAACCGGAAAACAAAUGCUGGAGCUCCUCCGCCGACCCUGCGCCGACUCAUGCCCACCUCCGCAGGCAGCCGGGUGGCCAUGGCGUGACGCCGCCGACCCGUCCUCCGUACUGACAAGUGUCCCCGCGUCUUCGCCUUUCAGUAUUUAACCUUCUCGUGCCCUCCUUCCCCAUUCCCGCCAUUAUAGGAACCAAAAAAGAAGUGAGCGGUUGUGUCUGGAGGCAAAGAAGGCGGCCUGGCCAUCCCCGGGAAGAGCCCCGGAGAAGGCACGCCACCCAGGUUGGCCGAGGCAUCGCUCCGGACCACCGCUGACGCCGCCACCAGGAGAAGUAGCAGAAGCCUCAUCUUAAACGAGCAAACCACUUCGGCCGCCCUCAGACUCAGACUGCAGCCGGCCCAAGCAACUGUUUGAAUCUGCCCUUUGGAAUUCAGGGAAGGUCAAGGAGUCUGAAUGAAGCCUAUUUGCUACAAACAAGAAACCAGAGACACAGAAAGGAUUUGUACCCAGGAGGGCCCCACAGGGGCCCCACAGUUCCAUUUCAAAAUCAGGACCAAAAUAAAAAGUAAUCCUUUGCCAUUGGUUGAUAUGUCUUUUAGAUCCCACCAAACAAAGCCUUUAAGGUCAAGAUUACACCAGGAAUUGAAAAAGUUUCAUGUAUUAUUCAUUACAGCAAAGGGAACACACA